AUUGAACGCUGGCGGCAUGCCUUACACGUGCAAGUCGAACGGCAGCACGGGAGCAAUCCUGGUGGCGAGUGGCGAACGGGUGAGUAAAGCAUCGGAACGUGCCCAGUCGUGGGGGAUAACGUAGCGAAAGCUACGCUAAUACCGCAUACGAUCUGUGGAUGAAAGCGGGGGACCGUAAGGCCUCGCGCGAUUGGAGCGGCCGAUGUCAGAUUAGGUAGUUGGUGGGGUAAAGGCUCACCAAGCCGACGAUCUGUAGCUGGUCUGAGAGGACGAGCAGCCACACUGGGACUGAGACACGGCCCAGACUCCUACGGGAGGCAGCAGUGGGGAAUUUUGGACAAUGGGCGCAAGCCUGAUCCAGCAAUGCCGCGUGCAGGAUGAAGGCCUUCGGGUUGUAAACUGCUUUUGUACGGAGCGAAAAGGCUUCCACUAAUACUGGGGGCUCAUGACGGUACCGUAAGAAUAAGCACCGGCUAACUACGUGCCAGCCGCCGCCGUAAAAC
rnacentral:rRNA from 1 species